ensembl:miRNA
CUGACUCCAGUGCCCAGGCCAGGGGCAGACCGUGGACAGAGAACAGUGCCCAAGACCACUGGACUUGGAGUCAGGACAU